ACUCAAAUGAAUUGACGGGGGCCCGCACAAGCGGUGGAGCAUGUGGUUUAAUUCGACGCAACGCGAAGAACCUUACCAGGGCUUGACAUCCUCAGGAUCUGAUAGAAAUAUCGGAGUGCCCUUUUGGGAACUGAGAGACAGGUGGUGCAUGGUUGUCGUCAGCUCGUGUCGUGAGAUGUUGGGUUAAGUCCCGCAACGAGCGCAACCCCUAUAUUUAGUUGCUAGCAGGAGAGCUGAGCACUCUAGAUAGACUGCCGGUGACAAACCGGAGGAAGGUGGGGAUGACGUCAAAUCAUCAUGCCCCUUAUGUUCUGGGCUACACACGUGCUACAAUGGCCGGUACAGACGGCAGCGAAGCCGCGAGGUGGAGCAAAUCUGAGAAAGCCGGUCUCAGUUCGGAUUGCAGGCUGCAACUCGCCUGCAUGAAGUCGGAAUCGCUAGUAAUCGCAGGUCAGCAUACUGCGGUGAAUACGUUCCCGGGCCUUGUACACACCGCCCGU
rnacentral:rRNA from 1 species